AAUCUGAGAAUAAAGAAAAAAUUAAGAAUUUAUUUCAUGGAAAAGAAGCAAAAUGCUUCUGACAAAAACUUUGUAGAAUUUGUUGUAGCUAAGCUCCCUUACUGAAUUAAUCUGAGUUUAAAAAAGCCAGUGAAAUAACUGCAUCUUCUACACAUAUAUUGAAUGUUGUUUCCAAGCAUUUACAUCAAAGAACUGAAAACUCUAGGUUAAUUUGCACAUCAUCUAAUGGAAAUUGAAUCAGCAGAUACAAGUAAACAAUGACUUUUGUUAAUAUUACCAUAAUCAAAUAACUGUACCAAGUAAAAUAAUCACUGUUUAGAUUCAAGCAGUGGCUUCUUUCCUAGACAGUUUUGAUAUUUGUCUGAAGACAGAACUUCAAAGAAGGUGCAUUGUGACAUAAUAUUGCAGUGGAUCCUUACACUACAGAGAAUAUUUGGAUAACUCACAAAAUGACUGACUGUGUACUCUACUGAUGCAGUCAUGUGAACAAAAUCUCAAAAAGCCAGCUCUACAGCAUAGACUGCACUUGAGGACUGACAUAAAAUACUACAUACACACUCAAAUUAAUAAAACCUCCCAGGAGUGCUUUCAUUAGACUACAAAGACAUCAUAGGAUGGUUAAAAAAGAAAACAUAUCUGAGGAUUAGUAACUCCUGACAGAUGGCAAAAUCUAUGAAGUCAGCUUUAGAAAAUGGCAAAAAGCCAACAAAAUCACAAAAGCUUCUGGGUGCAUGGGAACAAAAGCAUGCAGAAGAACAUUAUCAACCA